GCUGGGUGCGGUGGCACAUGCCUGUAAUCCCAGUGGCUCGGGAGGCUGAGACAGGAGGAUCUCGAGUUCAAAGUCAGCCUCAGCAACAGAAAGGUGUUAAGCAACUCAGUGGGACCCUGUCUCUA
rnacentral:sRNA from 1 species